GGUGGAGUGACUCGGCGGCCAUUAGCUGUGUGUAGUUGCCCGGGACUAGGAGCCUAAGUGGAGAGGGAAGGCUUAUUCGGUGGAAAUCAACUGUGGGCAUGGGCCUCUACCGGGGCUACCCCUAGAGUACGGAGAAGGCGGGCUUUUUGGUUCACCGCCCCGCUAACUAGCGGGGCCCACUAGGCCUCCGGACAUCCCCGGUGUCAAGUAGGCCUCGUCUGCCGGCAAGGGCGCCCCAAAGGCGGGAGGCGCCAUGUCGCUGGUUGCUUACGCCAGCAGCGAUGAGAGUGAGCCGGAUGAGGCUGAGCCGGAGGCGGAGGAGGAGGAGGAGACGGCAGCCCCUACACCUGGGCCCACUUUAGGGGGCUUGUUCGCUUCUCUUCCCGCGCCCAAGGGUCCGGCCUUGCUGCCUCCGUCCCCCCAGAUGCUGGCCCCAGCCUUUCCCCCGCCGUUGUUGCUGCCCACACCCACCGGAGACCCCCGGCUCCAGCCUCCUCCCUCCUUGCCCUUCGGUUUGGGAGGCUUCCCUCCACCUCCAGGCGUGAGCCCGGCUGAAGCGGCGGGAAUUGGGGAGGGGCUGGGAUUGGGGCUGCCCUCGCCCAGAGGCCCUGGCCUCAGUCUGCCCCCCCAUAUCGGCGGGGCCGGGCCCCCCCUGGGGCUUCCCAAGCCAAAGAAGAGGACAGAGCCGGUGAAGAUUGCGGCGCCAGAGCUGCAUAAGGGGGAUUCAGAUUCCGAGGAAGAUGAACCCACAAAGAAGAAAACUGUCCUUCAGGGAUCCAGUGAGGGGACUGGUUUGUCCGCCUUGCUUCCCCAACCUAAAAACCUGACUGUGAAAGAGACUAACAGGUUGCUCCUGCCCCAUGCCUUCUCCCGGAAACCCUCGGAUGGCUCCUCUGACACUAAGCCCUCCAGACAAGCUUCUAAGACCAAGCCCUCUUCUCUCGCCCCUGUUGUGGGCACCACAACCACCACUCCAUCGCCCUCUGCUAUCAAGGCUGCUGCCAAGAGUGCUGCCCUGCAGGUGACGAAGCAGAUCACGCAGGAAGAGGACGAUAGUGAUGAGGAAGUAGCCCCUGAGAACUUUUUCUCCCUCCCUGAGAAGGCCGAGCCGCCUGGAGUUGAGCCAUACCCUUACCCCAUUCCCACUGUCCCUGAAGAGUUGCCUCCAGGCACGGAACCAGAGCCGGCCUUCCAGGACGAUGCAGCCAAUGCCCCCUUAGAGUUCAAGAUGGCAGCAGGCUCAAGUGGGGCCCCUUGGAUGCCUAAGCCUGGGGAUGACUACAGCUACAAUCAGUUUUCCACGUAUGGCGAUGCCAAUGCCGCUGGUGCUUACUAUCAGGUGGGUAAGAGGCAUGGAGGGCAGGCCAGGGAAUGUUGGAGUACGGCCGUCAGGGAGAGCUUUGAGCCAGUGAUACGGCCUCUGUGGCAUCACUUUGGCUGAAUUAAUGAAUCUUCUGGUGCCUUGGUUUUCCUGUACCUGUCAGGCCUCAAAACAUACUACCUUUAUGCUAAGUCUUGUAGUCUGAUAGGUCGAAACACAUAAUUGACCCGUUUAUUCUGAAAACAAAAUGUCAUUGUAGGAGCUGAUGAAAGGUAUAGGGAGAAAGUGGAAGAGGAGCAAUCUCUAGUCUUAGAGAUCCCAGGUAGCUUCUGCAGAUGUGGGUGAGGAGGAUAAGUGAACAGCAGUGAGUCCAAGAAGAGUUCUGGAGGCGGGGAGUGCUGAGGACUGCAAGGGAGAGGAGGGACUGUGGAGGACAGGAGGGAAUCUGGAGAGUCGAAUGCAAAAGGGAAUAAGGAGAAUGGUGAGAGGCCUCGACUGAGUCACAGGAAGUUGAAGGGACUGAGGCAAGUCCCUGGAAAGAAGAUGCUGGAGGACCAUAGUUUGGGCAGAGAUAGAGAAUGGGGUUUGAGGGUGGUUUGGAGUUUGAAUCUCAAACUAUGUGAGUCUAUUACUUAACUGCCUCUCUGAGUCUCAGAUUUCUCAGCUCUAAAAUGGGAAGAAUACUAGCAACUUCAGGGUUGUUAGGUAGAAUUACAUUGGUUUAGCGUGCUGCCUGGAACAUAGCAAAUGCUCAGUAAAUGGUUAUGAUAACUUUUUAUUCAAAUGUUAUUUGGAAGAGCUGUUUAAAUUGUUCUAUGUGGCCUCAGAGAGUGAGAAUAUAUGAGGCCAGGUUGUAAAUAGGUUUAAGAAAGACUUUUCCAGUGGUCAGAGCUUCCUGAGAUGGAGAGAGCUCCCAGGAGUUCGGGGACUCACGGCAGUGGUGGAGGUGGAACAGAGGCCUCUGGCCGGUCCUGUGGCUGGGCAGCUGUAGGAAGUUUUCCUGCCAGCAUGCGAUGGUUUCAAGACUUCAGUCUUCUUCAGCCACUGUGAUUCUCUGAAUGGAUUAUUACAGUGGUGGCUACUAUCCCGCACAGGACCCAACUCUGGUCCCCCCACAGGAAAUUGCCCCAGAUGCCUCCUUCAUCGAUGACGAAGCAUUUAAGCGGCUGCAGGGCA